GGUUGCUAUGCGACGGGGGCGGUUGACCAAAGUAGGCCCCGCGGUUUAGAGGAGCAGCCAAAUUUAUUACGGAGCUGGGCGUGGCCUCGGUUGCUUCGCAGCGGGGACGCUUAGGCAGGGCUUGAGCCCAGUUUCUAGACCAAUGCUCCCGGAAUUUUGCAUGGCACCCAAGAAAGAGAAAAGCGGGGUUGCGAGCAGCAGUUCUGAGAUAUGGGAACCUUCGCUCAUAGCUGCACACUUGAAUCAGAACGAUUGGAAGGCCUCCAUUGCUUUUGUGGUUGGUAACCAGAUUGAAGAUGAUCUUCUCAUUCAAGCCCUCACCUUGGCUGUCGAAGUCCCUCAGCGCAAACUCUUCAGUAUAGUUUCAUGGCAAGGCAUUCUCCAGCAGAUCAAUGAAAUAAGUGGACUUGCCAGAACCGUUUCAUCUAAAAAGGCAAGAAAAGCUGCUGGCAGUAAUGCUCCAGUAUUUUAUGAGGUGUUAAUUGCAGCAAAAACAAUUAUGGACAGUGGAGAGAAACUGACCUUACCAUUGAUAGGGAAACUCCUGAAAUUUCAACUUCUCCAGAUUAAAUUAAAGGACCAGCAACAACGGGAAAAUGUAAAGAAGGUGAUAGAAGAGAGAUCUAAAUUAGAAAUGGAUAAAGGAAAAGCAAAACCUUCCAAAGAGAAGAAGGCCCCAGGUGUCAAGGGUGCUAAAGGGAAGGGAAAGGAUCAGCUUGAGGUCAACACAACAGUUAAGAAGACCACCGAGUUAAAACGAAGGGGAGAAGAGGAUGACACCAAGUAUUACAUUGACGAUGAGCCAGAUGAUGGUGCCCAACAUUACAUUAUUGUUGUGGGCUUCAACAAUCCUCAGCUACUAGCCAUUAUGACUGAGCUUGGCAUUCCCAUAACCAGUGUGAUUAAAAUAUCUUCAGAGAAUUAUGAACCUCUGCAGACACACCUGGCAGCACUUAGCCAGCAGCAGGAAGUUUCUCUUCAGCCAGAAGAUAAAGAAGCUGAAAACCUGAAGAAAGAGAAUGCCAUAAAAGAACUUGAAUUUUUCUGGAAAUAUUUGGACCCGAUCCUGAAUAAUGAGAAACCUGAAACCAAUCUCUUUGAUGUUGCUCGACUUGAAUACACAGUCAAAGCAGCUGAUUUUCCACAUGAUUGGUCAGACGGCCAGAUGCUGCUGAAAUUGGGCACCAUUGUUUUUGAAAAUAUUGCUUGUCUGAUGUAUGACACCCUGGAUUGGAAAAGGCAGCACCAACAUUAUUUGGAAAGCAUGCAGCUUAUUAAUGUCCCACAAGUGGUUAAUGAAAAAGCUCUCUUAGAAGCCAUCCCCAUUUCUGAGGCUCCAAAAGUUGUUCCAGGGCCUGGAAAGAAGAAAGCACAGCCUGAAGAGCCACAGGUUGCACCACCAGCGACUUUCAUCAUCACAACUGAAGUAGACAUGAGAUAUUACAAUGAUCUGCUGAAUCCAAUUCCGGAGGAAUUCAUUUCUGUGCCCCUGAUACUGCACUGUAUUUUAGAGCAAGUUGUGGCAACUGAAGAAGAUCUCGUCCCCCCCAGUUUGGUGGAGCCACCCCACAGGGAAGAUGGGUUAGACCACAGGAUUGCUGCUCACAUUGUGUCCAUCCUGCCCUCGCUCUGCCUCUCAGAGAGGGAGAAAAAGAGCCUCCGUGAAGCAUUCUUACCUGAAGAAGAAAGGGAAAUCAAAGCAGUGCCCAAAGGCCCUGUCUUACUGAACUACCAUGACGCACAUGCCUACAAGAAGUCCGCACUAAAGGACCAAAAGAAUCUUGACCCAGUUCAAAUUGAGCAGGAGAUGCAGUCCAAGCUGCCACUGUGGGAACUCCUUCGAUUCCCUCUACUCCCACCUUGGAACAGCACCAAACGUUUAGCUACCAUUCAUGAGCUCAUGCACUUCUGUACAAAUGAACUCUUGAGCUGGAAUGAAGUAGAACGAGCCUUCAAACUCUUUACUUUUGAGAGCCUGAAGCUCUCUGAGGUGGACAAAGCAGGGAAAAUAAAGCCUUCUGGAAUUAUGUAUGGAACAGCUGCUCAAGAGGUUUAUAUACCGUGGGACAACCCUGCCACAUUUGCUAAACACAUAAGGCAGCAACACAUCAUGAAAAUGAAUACUCCAGAGGCCAAACAGAAAACAGAUACUGAACCCCAAGACAGGACUAUAUAUGUGGAUCCAAAUUGGUCAACAUCUUUGCAAGAUAAUGAAAUCAAUGGAGAUGUUUCAAAUCUUAAUCUGCCUGAUGCUGACAAUAUGAAGCAUUAUGACUCAGGUACUAUGAAACCCUUAGACUCUGAUGAAAGAGAGCUCUUGGAGCAGGAGGGCAAAGUGAAGCCUCAGUUCCAACCAGAGCCUUUGAGAAGUAAAGGUAUAGUAUGUAGUAAAGAUCCCACCACGAACAACGAGAUCAAAGAUAAAGCAGCCACAAAGGCUGAUUCUCUUGAAAAGAAACCCAAGAAGACGAUGGUGGAAGCAAAUUUGGAGGACAUAAAGAACACACAGCAGCGCAGCCUGGUGGAUUGGAGUUACACUGAACAUUUUAAACCAGAAGUACUGCUUCAGGUUCUUCAAGAAGCUUAUCAGCAAUAUCGGUGUGUAGAUUCUUAUUACUAUACCCAGGAUAAUUCUUUACUUUUAGUUUUUCAUAAUCCAAUGAAUUUACAACGUCUGCACUGUGAAUAUUGGAAUAUUGCUCUUCACUCUAAUGUUGGAUUCAGGAAUUAUUUGGAACUUGUUGCUGACUCCAUUCAAGAUUGGAUCACAAAAGAGGAAGCUGUGUAUCAGGAAUCUAAAAUGGCUGAGGAACUCACUAGGACCAAGGGUAACAAAGUAAUCAACAAAACAGAAGUAACAGAUCAAGAACAGGAGAAAGAGAAAGAAAAGAUUUCUUUUAUUUUAGAAGGCUCUCUGAAGGCAUGGAAAGAAGAGCAGGAACGGUUAGCAGAAGAGGAACGUUUACGAGAAGAAGAGAUAGCAGAAAAGAAGAGCAAAGAUGCCGGUAAAAAGAAAGGCCAUGAUAAAACAGAGAACGAAGAUAGUAGGUCUUUGAAGAAAAAGUCUCCUUCUAAGGACAAAGCUAAAGAAGAAUUAAUAAUAAUCUCAGAAGCAUCAGAGGAGGCCCUGCCCCAACGAGAACCUGAGAUGCAGUAUCCAUUUCGAGGAUACAACAUGGGAGAUACACCUAUACAAAUCUCUGGGGCAAAUUAUUAUCUGUAUCCUUCUGAUGGAGGGCAGAUUGAAGUAGAAAAGACAACCUUUGCAAAAGGCUCAACGUUUAUCAAAGUGAAAGUGAAAAAGGACAAGCAUAAUUUUAUAAUUCACCUAAAAGACCCGAAGAGUUUGGCGAAAAAACAAAGCAAAGAAGAAAUUUAUCCUUCAGAAGAGAAAGAAAAAGAUGAGGAACAAAAUCUUGAAGCAAAAGUAUCUCAUGCAGAGGGUAAAGCUGUCAGCAAGUUUGGAUCUUUUUCUGCCACCUUAGAAAAUGGAAUCUGCCUCUCAAUAAGUUACUAUGGAGCAAGUGGAAUGGUGCCAGAGGAAAAGGACCCUGAAUUGGAGACAGUGUUGAAUAUCCCUUCAGCACUUACUCCAACAGUGAUCCCCACUAUAGUGAAUAUUCCUCAAGGCAAAAUAAAAGGGAAAGCAAAAGGCAAAGAAAAACCCAAGGAAUCCCUUAAAGAAGAGGAGCACACAAAAGAAGAAGAGAAAAAGGAAGAAGUAGAACGAGAACCUCUUUUACAAGAGACUCCUUAUGUUCCCACCUUCCAAAACCUAACUGUGUCUUGCCCCAAUGGGCUUCUGUUGACUUUUAUUGGGCAAGAGUCCACAGGUCUACAUCUUGUGGAUGAGGAACCCACCUGGGACAUCAUGAUCCGUCAGAGCUACCCCCAAAGGAUGAAGCACUAUGAGUUCUAUAAAACGGUGAUGCCACCCAUGGAGCAAGAGGCAUCCAGAGUUAUCACCAGUCAAGGCACUGUUGUCAAGUACAUGUUGGAUGGAUCCACACAAAUCCUCUUUGCAGAUGGGGCUGUGAGCAGCAGUCCUGAUUCAGGUCCCGUUUGUUCUCCUGAAGUGUCAAUGAGCCCUCAUAGUGGAGAUUUGGCAGACUCAGCUUCUCGGCCAAAAUCAGAAACAGCUCCAUCUGAGAUUGCCAUGGCAAAGAAAGCAAGAGGUCACAAAAAUCAGUCGAUGAUGCAGAAGAGUGAAAUCCAUGAAGUCACCCCGGAGGUAGUGCAAACAGUAACCCCUGUGAAGGUUCACAUAGGCACCUGGUUCACAACCACACCUGAAGGACAUCGGAUUGGCACCAAAGGAUUGGAAAAAGUAGCAGAUUUGACCCCACUGUUAUCCUUUAAGGCCACAGAUCCCGUCAAUGGAAUGGUUAUGACAACCCGAGAAGACAAAGUAGUCAUCGUUGAAAAGAAAGACGGUACUCGGAUAGUGGAUCAUGCAGAUGGUACCAGAAUCACAACCUUUUAUCAAGUUUAUGAAGAUCGUAUUAUUUCUACAGAUGAUCAAGAAACAACUGAAGUUCCUCGGACCGUCACCAGACAGGUGAAGUGUAUGCGGAUAGAAAGCUCACACUAUGCCACUGUUACCACCAACUGUGAAGACAGUAGCUGCUGUGCCACCUUUGGGGAUGGGACAUCUAUCAUUGCAAAGCCACAAGGAACAUACCAGGUGCUACCUCCCAAUACUGGUUGCCUCUAUAUUGAUAGGGAUUGUUCAGCCACAUAUUGCCAUGAGUCCAGCAGUGACAUCCAUCAUCCUUUCCAAAAGCGUGAGCAGCUUAGAGCCAGCAGGUACGUCAUGAAGCACACAUCAGAGGUCAUCUGUGAGGUCCUGGAUCCUGAAGGAAACAUCUUUCAGGUCACGGCUGAUGGCAGUACAUCAACUGUGCUACCUGAAAAAAAACCAGAGGGUGAAUUAAAUGUAAAACCUGAGGGCUAUGACAGUUUAUCACCUAUUCACCUUGAAAAGAAUCAUAUGCAAAUCUAUGGUGAACAUGUUCCCAGAUUUUUUGUUAUCUAUGCUGAUGGAUCAGGAGUGGAACUCCUCCGGGACAGUGACAUUGAAGAACACUUAUCCUUGGCCUGCGGAGAAUCGACGACCAUGGUUCUCCAGGAGCCCGUGCCGGAGCAGCCAGGAGCCCUGAGCAUCACAAUCCUUCGUCCUUUACAUAAAGCAUCGGCAUGGCUAAUGAAGAAGGAGUUAGAGACGAUUGUUCCUCCUAAUCUCCAGUCAAGAUCGUGGGAGACAUUUCCCUCAAUUGAGAGAAAAACUCCAGGGCCUCCAUUUGGCACUCAGAUUUGGAAGGGCCUUUCCAUUGGAUGUAAACAGCUAAUGAGUGCCCCAGCUCCUAUACUUAAAGACCCUAAGGUGCUGCAGAUGCGCCAGUUCAUCCAGCAUGAGGUCAUAAAGAACGAGGUGAAACUGAGGCUGCAGGUUUCACUUAAGGAGUAUAUUAACCACAUUCUAAAGAAAGAAGAGGAGCUACAAGAAAUGACAGUCAAGGAUUCCAGAACUGAAGAGGAGAGAGGCAAUGCUGCAGAUCUUCUCAAGCUAGUUAUGUCGUUCCCAAAAAUGGAGGAAACUACAAAAAGUGAUGUUAGUGAAGUUACAGCCCACCUAACCAAUUUAUUCAAGCAGUCUCUGGCUUCUGCUCCAAAAUGUCCAUCAGGAACAUUCAGUAAAACUUUCUUUGAGAAGAAAUGGAGGCACACAGCAGCAUCAAAGAAGUGGAAAGAAAAGAUAGAGGAGAAGAGGAAGGAAAUUGAGAAGACAAAAAAUCAGCUAACAGAAAUUAGGAACAAAGUGCUGCAACCCUAUUUCAACUCUGAAUUGAGCCAGUUAUAUCAGUCCCAGUAUAAUUAUCUGGAUGAGCUUUCAAAAAAACUGCCUCCUUUUACAAAGAAAGAUAAAGAUGCAAAUGAAACAGCCUAUCAAGAUACAUCUGAUCUUUAUUCAGAUUCCAAGCCAUCUACAGUUUCAGAACAGGAGUCUUCAAAUGUGCUUAGACUUCAAAAGUCAGAGAUUUCUAAGGAUACCAAGGAGCCCACUAGCCAGAACCAAGCUGAAGAUUUAACAAAAUCUACUGAAGAACCAGAGUUUUGUGUGCCUGUGAAAAUUCCAACCCAGCCCUUGCUGCAAGAUGCUGCAGGACAGGCAAGGAAAGAAAAGGUGAAGUUACCACAUUAUUUGCUGAGCUCCAAACCAAAGUCUCAACCACUUGCAAAGGUGCAAAAUCCUGUUGGAGGAAAAGUGAACACAUCCUCCAUUGCCUCUGCUGCCAUUAAUAAUGUAAAGUCGCCCCCUUGGGGGUUCCACCUUCUCCCACCAUCAGUGAAGUUUGGAGUGCUCAAAGAAGGACACACCUACGCAACCACUGUAAAGCUCAAGAAUGCUGGUGUAGACUUCAGCAGAUUUAGAGUAAAGCAGCCCCCACCUAGCAGUGGACUGAAAGUGACUUAUAAACCUGGGCCUGUGGCAGCUGGUUUGCAGACAGAGCUGAAGGUGGAGUUAUUCGCCAUGGCUGUUGGAGAGGGUGGUGUCAAGGGAUUAUCUUACAUCUCUCACAAUAUUGAGAUUAUGACUGAACAUGAUGUUUUGUUCUUACCUGUGGAAGCAACAGUUUUAACAAGCAGCAAUUAUGAUAAUCGACCAAAAGAUUUCCCUCAGGGAAAAGAAAAUCCCAUGGUCCAAAGGACGUCUACAAUUUCUUCUGCUGCACUUGGACUCUUCAUGUCUUGUGAUAUUUCUCCACAUUAAGUCCAGGCAUCUACAUCAUUAGACGCCAGGGUACUCCGCGGACUCUCCCUGGAAGACCUGUAUCCUAGACUCUGCCAGGACGAUUGGCUGGAUCCAGGGUCACUGCCUAAGCUCUGCAGCAGCCACACACUUGGUGACUUCUCCAGAAACUGCCUUGGCAUCGUUUACGAUAUGGUGAAUAUGCUCAAUGCUGAAGAGAUCUGCGAUUUGGGACACAAAUCUCCUAAGCACAAAACCUGCACCUCUGAGUCUGGGAAGAAAAUGGUAGCACUACAACAUAGGACCUUAGAUGAAAUGGACAAACUCAUAGAAGAUCAAGAAAAUCUGAGUAGACUAUUUAACAGAAUAUGAUUUAGUAAUUUAAAAC